ACACCGUUGCAGCAUACCAUGACGACAGGUGCGUCUUCCUCAGAGGCAACAAAAUCAGUGUCGGAUAGUUUGAUGACAAAUCCGUCUAACACAGAAACACCACAAUCAAGGACAUUCAAAGUUAAAGCCAUGUCAAUAACAACUGGUAAUACCUCAACGGCAUCGACAGCAUAUGUCAAGAAUCGGGCAACAGUUGACCAGUUACCAGUUACAGGGUUAGCAGUUGGAGUAACGAUUGGUUUUCUUUUGUUGAUCGUGGUUAUAAUAAUACUGAUAUGUAUAAUACGGAGCAUCAAAAAGAAACUCGCAGAUCACGUAUCUAGAUGUACAUGUCACAGAUCUGACGUCAAUCAACCUAGGAAUAUCAUGUAUUAUGAUAUCAUGACAACAAGAGAAGAUAACCACCGGUAUGAACUGUCACCCUUUAGGGAUUCGAAUUCUAAUCACGUGACUGUAACGGCCGAUGGAACCCAAUCUACAUAUGAUACCAUGGAAAACAGAUCUCCUGAGAACAGUUAUCAAACAUUAGCACCAUCUGUCAACAAUGGUGUUUACGUAAAUCAACAAGUUUUAUAGCAUUUUAAUAUUCUUUGCAUAAACAUAAUAUGACACAGUAAAUGAUAGUUUGUAUUAAUAUAAUAAUGUGCAGUAAGUAACCGAGAAAGUAAUGGCUAGUUAUCUCAAGACAAUUUUGUAAAAUAUAAUAUUCGUAAAUGAAGUGUGUAUUGGCUCAACGUUUUAAAGUGGUAUGCCCACAAUUAAUGCAUGAGAACCAAACAAGAUAUAUCAAAGAUAAGAUAAGACAAAUUCAAGACAUACUUGAUUAUACGGAUAAUUAUAAAGCAGAGGGAAAUGUAAUUUGUAUUGAUUUCUUGAACGCAUGAUCAUUUGUGCGGGCGUCACACCGUCCCGAAAUGGCAUUUUGAACUUCUCGCGAGGAUGGCCCCGAACUUGUCAACAGCCAAUUAACAGCCGAAGCUUAUACGAUGUCCGCACAUGGUCACGCGAUAACACCCAAACCACAUACGAAGCCAAAACGAAGUAGCCUAUACCCGUAGGACACAUGAAAGCGACACGACGUCCUAUUGAGAGUAUACGAUGCGUUCGAACUAGGCCACGAAGGCGUCACGUGACGUAUGGUUUAUUUCAUUGCGACGUUUGUCAAAUAUAACACCGUAAUUAAUUUAGCAACAUAGUAACUGCUGUAAUGAAUUCUAUAUAUAGUGUUGUAUCUGUGCACUUUCAGUAUGUAUUCCCACUGAACUUUAUUGUACAAAUGGUUAUUAUUAAUAAAGAUUUCUAAAAAAAA